rnacentral:rRNA from 1 species
GUGGGGAAUAUUGGACAAUGGGCGAAAGCCUGAUCCAGCCAUGCCGCGUGAGUGAUGAAGGCCUUAGGGUUGUAAAGCUCUUUCAGUAGGGAAGAUAAUGACGGUACCUACAGAAGAAGCCCCGGCUAACUUCGUGCCAGCAGCCGCGGUAAUACGAAGGGGGCUAGCGUUGUUCGGAUUUACUGGGCGUAAAGCGCACGUAGGCGGAUUGGUCAGUUAGAGGUGAAAUUCUGGAGCUCAACUCCAGAACUGCCUUUAAUACUGCCAGUCUAGAGUCCAGAAGAGGGGAGUGGAACUCCUAGUGUAGAGGUGGAAUUCGUAGAUAUUAGGAAGAACACCAGUGGCGAAGGCGGCUCACUGGUCUGGUACUGACGCUGAGGUGCGAAAGCGUGGGGAGCAAACAGGAUUAGAUACCCCAGUAGUCC